rnacentral:rRNA from 1 species
UGAUGCGAUCAUACCAGCACUAAAGCACCGGAUCCCAUCAGAACUUCGAAGUUAAGCGUGCUUGGGCGAGAGUAGUACUAGGAUGGGUGACCUCCUGGGAAGUCCUCGUGUUGCAUUCC